UUCCGGUUGAUCCUGCCGGAGGCUACCGCUAUUGGAGUUCGAUUAAGCCAUGCGAGUCGCGAGUCUUAGGGACUCGGCGUACCGCUCAGUAACACGUGGGUAACCUGCCCUAUGCUGGGGGAUAACCUCGGGAAACUGAGAAUAAUACCCCAUAGUUCACCACGCCUGGAACGGUGGGUGGACCAAAGCUCCGGCGGCAUAGGAUGGGCCUGCGGCGUAUCAGGUUGUAGGGGGUGUAAUGUACCCUCUAGCCCUCUACGCGUACGGGUGUUGAGAGACAUCGCCCGGAGAUGGAUUCUGAGACACGAAUCCAGACCCUACGGGGUGCAGCAGGCGCGAAAACUUGGCAAUGCGAGAAAUCGUGACCAGGGAACUCCAAGUGCAUCGGGUAAGACCGAUGCUUUUCUUGACUCUUCAAAGGUCUUGGAAUAAGGGGUGGGUAAGGACGGUGCCAGCCGCCGCGGUAAUACCGGCGCCCCAAGUGGUAGUCGCUUUUAUUGGGCCUAAAACGUCCGUAGCCGGUCUGGUACAUUCGUGGGUAAAUCAACCAGCUCAACUGGUUGAAUUCUGCGAGCACGGCCAGACUUGGGACCGGGAGAGGUGUGGGGUACUCUCAGGGUAGGGGUAAAAUCCUGUCAUCCUGAGAGGACCACCUGUUGCGAAGGCGCCACACUAGAACGGAUCCGACGGUCAGGGACGAAGCCUAGGGGCACGAACCGGAUUAGAUACCCGGGUAGUCCUAGGUGUAAACGCUGUGGACUUGAUGUUGGGGGCGCUCCGAGCGCACUCAGUGUCGAAGCGAAGGUGAUAAGUCCACUGCCUGGGGAGUACGGUCGCAAGGCUGAAACUUAAAGGAAUUGGCGGGGGAGCACCGCAACCUGAGGAUUGUGCGGUUUAAUUGGAUUCAACGCCGGA
rnacentral:rRNA from 1 species